rnacentral:rRNA from 1 species
UGGGGAAUUUUGGACAAUGGGCGAAAGCCUGAUCCAGCAAUGCCGCGUGUGUGAAGAAGGCCUUCGGGUUGUAAAGCACUUUUGUCCGGAAAGAAAUCCUUGGCUCUAAUACAGUCGGGGGAUGACGGUACCGGAAGAAUAAGCACCGGCUAACUACGUGCCAGCAGCCGCGGUAAUACGUAGGGUGCAAGCGUUAAUCGGAAUUACUGGGCGUAAAGCGUGCGCAGGCGGUUUGCUAAGACCGAUGUGAAAUCCCCGGGCUCAACCUGGGAACUGCAUUGGUGACUGGCAGGCUAGAGUAUGGCAGAGGGGGGUAGAAUUCCACGUGUAGCAGUGAAAUGCGUAGAGAUGUAGAGGAAUACCGAUGGCGAAGGCAGCCCCCUGGGCCAAUACUGACGCUCAUGCACGAAAGCGUGGGGAGCAAACAGGAUUAGAUACCCUGGUAGUCCACGCCCUAAACGAUGUCAACUAGUUGUUGGGGAUUCAUUUCCUAGUAACGUAGCUAACGCGUGAAGUUGACCGCCUGGGGAGUACGGUCGC